GCCUCCCAUGCAGCGAGAAAAUAAAUUAUAUUUACUGUUGAAAAGCAAACAAGAAAAAUGUCGGAAGGUUGUGUGGUGGUAAGUGUAGCUUGGUGGUGAUAGUGAUGAUGUUGGCUCUGUGGUGGAGAGUAUUGGAAGGAGAUUAUUACUACCACGUGACUUGACAAUAGACCAACAAAUCUAAGAUGGAGAAUGGCGGGAAUAUUUGAAACGUUUAAAUUAAAUAUCAAUAGUCGAUAAGUGAAAGGUCGAUAAUACAGGAUACAAUUUAUUGAAUUGAGACAAAGAAUUAUCGAUAGGAAAGAAGUUAUCUUUUAUAUUAUCUUAUAUUUUAGACAGUUUUAUUAUCUUAUAUUUUAAAUAGUUUUACUCGAUGUUAACCAUUCUAUUAAUGAUAAGUAACGAUUCUUUAUAACAAAUAUAUGGAUAAUAUAGCUUGUAAAUUAAUGUCGAUAUGUAAUAUUUAUAUUUUACAAUGAAAAACGCUAUUCCUAAUAUAGAUAUGCAAUGGAGAGAAUAUGAGAGAACAUCAAGAAUCCUUAUCCUGUCUCCAAAAUGUCGAAGGUAUUAGAACUAACCUCAUUUAAAGAGCAAAGUUUUAAUUAUGAGCUUGAAUUUCCGGUAUUUGCCUGGAGCGAUCGAGAAAUUUGCACGUUGAUCGUCAUCCAAAGAUAUCUAGUAUUCCCUUGGCAGUCGUUCAUUCAUCUAUAUACGUAUAAUCUAUAUAUGUAUUAAAAGAAUCGCGUAGGCGUAGAUAGAAAAAAAUAAAAGGAAAGAUAGAAAGAGAGAGCGAGAGAGAGGGAGAAAGAGAUACGGUAUGGUGGACGAGGGCGGUAUGCCCGGGGGAAGUGUCCUGCGCGUCUUCUUUACAGGGAAUUACGUACCUUAUUGCUUUUAAAUUUACGCGUAGCGAGUACCAUUAAAGAUAAAAUUCAUGUUUCCCUCGACAGAAAAAACUAAUCUCUUUUCCUGAAAUCUCUUGAUAAAAGGGAUAAAAGCAAUUUAAAAA